CUAAGACUUGCAGCUACUUCUGGACCCAAUAAACUAACACCGGGUUUGCCACAUAGGCAUGUAAAUCUGACACACGACUGCAGCUGCACACGUCUGAUUCGAAGGCCUCAACCUUACAUACCAAGAGCAAGUUACCUCCUUCAGCUGAUCCAGCUCAUGUCGGACCGUCUCGUACUCCGUCUCCAACUCAUCAAACUGCUGCUUGAGCUGCUGUUUCUCCUCCAGCACCGCCAGCCCAUACUCAGCCGCCUGGAUCUUCUCAUGGGUCGUUUCGCGGAGCUCCCGGAGUUCGACAGUGCUCAACCUAGA